CUCAUUGCUUCAUAUGAUCUGGAUCCAAAGAAGCAGUCAUUAUAUGAUGUAUCGAUCAUAUCGUUGUAGCAACUGAAAAGUUUUUUGCAUAAAGAAAAAAUCAAUCUGAUUAUAGGUUGUGAAGCGAAAAUAAAGGGAUGUGGAUAAAUGGAAGGGUGAAAGAGAGAGAGAAGGGGGAAGAAGGAACGGAAG